CUUUCAGGACAAUCACUUCGUAGUGCAGCGCCAUCACUUUGCAAAUAGCGAUCGUGGACGUGUGUGUGUGGACACGAUAGUUUAUUCAGAUAAACGAAAAUGGAUGAUAGCAAAAUAUAGAACGCUGCAAAUAAGGACGCCAGCCACAAGCGCACACCACAAAAUGGGCGAAAAGGACAAUUGAAGUGGGUAUGUACCUGGAGUGGACUUGCCACAUUUAACUGUUAUUUUUAUAACUCGAAAAUAUAUAAAAGUUGAAAUAAGCACGAGUGGAAAUGCAAUUACAUUUCUUGAUAAUUAAAUUGCUGUUGUUUUUGCGUGUGAUAUACAUAGUAAGAUAGCUGGCGGUAGGGUGGCACGCUGAUAAGCAGCAUAGCAUAUUAAAAUGAUAAUUGUGAGAAAAUGAACAGCUGCAUAAUUUGUCAAGCGAAUGGCGUCGGAAAAAGAAUUUCUACAAAUCACAGCCGAAACAAAUGUUCCGAAACAGCACACACUCACACGCAUGCAAAUGCUUGUUCUUCGAACAAAUACCUCUGUAGAUAUAAAUACACGACAAUGAAACAUAAAGCUGGGCGGAAUAAAUACAAAUAUAAUACAAAAUAAACUUAUUUUAAGAAAUUAAAA